UACGUAGGGAGCGAGCGUUGUCCGGAAUUACUGGGUGUAAAGGGAGCGUAGGCGGGGAUGCAAGUUGGGUGUCAAAACUACCGGCUCAACUGGUAGUCGCACUCAAAACUGCAGCUCUUGAGUGAAGUAGAGGCAGGCGGAAUUCCUAGUGUAGCGGUGAAAUGCGUAGAUAUUAGGAGUAACACCAGUGGCGAAGGCGGCCUGCUGGGCUUUUACUGACGCUGAGGCUCGAAAGUGUGGGGAGCAAACAGG
rnacentral:rRNA from 1 species